CCGCCUGCAGCUGGGAGCCGUGACGCAGGUUCACGCAGCUCCAUUUGGUGAAGCGCGGGGACGUAGUGUGGAUUGAGUUGUUCUCCUCGCCUUGUGCUGAGUGGCGGGGCAUUACCGGAGGCGCUGGUGGGGCUACUGAUGAGAUAAGCGAAGUGGAGUGAACAGACCCUUCCACGGGCGGCCCCGGAGCACUGGCACGCCGACCCUCUGCUUUUGUGUACGUGUGUGAUUUUUCAUUUUCCAGAAAGGACGCGGUUCCAGUUUAGAAAAAAAAGAAAAGAAAGAGAGAGAAAAAAGAAAGGAACGAAAUUCGCGUCUGUGUUUUUUUUUACUUUUCUUUUCUUUUUGUUUUAAGCCCAGAGGAUGUUUUUUAUAGUGUUGCUUCCAUUCCUGAAAAGCUCAGUGGUUUGGUAGAAUUGAUAAGAGAAGAUAGUCAGUUAUACCUUCCAUAGACAAGGAGGUGCUUCACUCUGUAGAGACUGAAGGAGUGGCUCUUGCUUCUCCCGAAUUGGCAGGAGUGAGUCACGGGGCACUCACGGCACCGCCAAGACCACCACUAACACUUCUGGCAUAAAAAAAGACAUUCCAACGAAAUGCAGGAGAAUUAAAGUCUAGAAUCUAAAAGAAGAUGUGAGGCACGCUUGAACUGGCACCUCGUAAAGCCACGUGAGUCAUAACAGAGUGUGACAGCUGCGGCGCGUGUAGCUUCAUUCACAGGGACAUGAGUGUGUGCAGCUGAGGCGUCGAUUGAGAAGGCAGUAAAGUGUUCUCAAAGUGUGAUACGCCAGGAAUGGAGGAGCCGGUGAAGGCCGCGUCCCUGUCUGGCUGGAGCUUGAAGGGAAGGAAAAAAAUGGGGCAUUCCUAUAUUUUUCCCCGCGGCUCAUCCCUUUCUGCCCUGCCCCGUCCCAUAUACCUGCUACUGGUGCUGCUUGCCCUCAGCCGCCGGGCCGCGGGCUCCGAUGUCAUCAGAAUAGGUGGGCUGUUCGAUCCGGAGGACGAGCGGCAGGAGGUGGCCUUCAGGUACGCAGUGGACGCCAUCAACAGUGACCGCACGCUGCUGGCCCACGCGCGCCUCUCCGCCCAGAUUGAAGUGAUUCCUCCCAACGAUUCCUUCAGGGGCUCCAGGAAAGUCUGCUCCCUACUCAAGUCUGGCGUGGCGGCAAUCUUCGGGCCCCAGUCUGGCCAGACCUCGGCUCACGUGCAGUCUAUCUGUGACGCCCUCGAGGUGCCACACAUAGAGAACAGGUGGGACUUCAGGCUGACCCGCGACGCUUACUCCGUCAAUCUGUACCCGCACCCGUCCACGCUGUCCAAGGCGUACAUGGACGUGCUGAUGACGCUCCGGUGGCGCAAGUUUUACGUGAUCUACGAGAACAACGACGGCCUGGUGCGCGUGCAGGAGCUGCUCAAGAACGAGACGUGGCACAUCACCCUCAGACAACUGCCGGUCACUGACGACUACAGACCCAUGCUGAAGGACGCCAAAAAGGCCGGCGUGACCUACGUGGUGCUGGACUUGGAGAGAGACAAGAUCUUCACGGUGCUCAAGCAGGCGCAGCAGAUCGGCAUGAUGACCUCCUACCACAACUACUUCAUCACUUCCCUGGACUUACACACGGUGGACCUGGAGGACUUCCGUCACGGGGGCACCAACAUCACCUGCCUGAGACUCGUGGACCCAGACAAUCCCUUAGUGCAGCGCGUCAUCCAGGACUGGGUUUUCGGGGAGCUACGUUACGGCCGCACUGUCGACGCCCCAACCACUUCCCUAGAGAAGAGUAACUUGACAUUCUUGAAGACGGAGGUGGCGCUCAUGUACGACGCGGUUCGCCUCUUCGCUAAAGCCCUGGACGACCUUGACCGCUCGAGGCACAUCGACGUGACGCCCCUUGAUUGUGACGGAGACAACGCCUGGGUGCACGGGAACUCCCUCGUUAACUAUAUGAAGUGGGUACAAGUGAACGGCCUAACGGGACUCAUCAAAUUCGACACGGAAGGCUUCAGGAGAGACGUGACGCUGGAUAUCGUGGAGCUCACCAAGGAUGGACUCACCCGCGUUGGGAAGUGGGACCCAGCGAACGGCGCCAACUACACGCGAACGUACAGCGAAGUGCAGCAAGGCAUCGUGGAGAGUCUGCAGAACAAGACACUCGUCAUCACCAGCGUCCUUGCCGCGCCCUACACCAUGCUACGCGAGACCUCGGAACAGAUGACCGGCAACCACCGCUACGAGGGUUUCUGCGUAGACCUCAUUCACGAGAUUUCAGAGAUCCUAGGCUUCAACUACACCAUCAAGAUCGCAGACGACGGCCAGCAUGGCAAAUUUGACAAGAAGCUUGGCAGGUGGAACGGCAUGAUUGGAGAGCUGCUUGACCAGAAAGCUGAUCUGGCCAUCGGCGACCUGACUAUCACCUACGAGAGAGAGCAGGAGGUCGACUUCACUAUGCCCUGGAUGAACCUUGGCAUCUCCAUACUGUACCGGAAGCCAACCAAGAAACCACCCAACCUGUUCAGCUUCCUGUCUCCCCUCUCGCUGGAUGUGUGGCUCUACAUGGCAACGGCUUAUCUGGGCGUCUCCCUCCUCCUCUUCGUUCUGGCCAGGUGCUUCACGAGGCUGGGGGCGUGGAGACAUGGGAAAAGAGGCCCUGCAUCCUCCAGGCUGGCAGACGAUGGAGGAAGCAACGAGGGGGUGACCUUCUCUUCCAGGAAGCGUGAGGCUGAGGUGUCGGAGAGGGCCGUAUCGACGCGCAUCGUGGCCGGCAUGUGGUGGUUCUUCACGCUCAUCAUGAUCUCCUCCUACACCGCCAACCUCGCCGCCUUCCUUACCGUGGAGCGCAUGGAGUCCCCGAUUGAGUCAGCGGAAGACCUCGCCAUGCAGACCAAGAUCAAGUACGGCUCCCUCUACGGCGGCUCCACCUGGAACUUCUUCAGCACCUCGAAGCUCCCCAUCUACCAGCGCAUGUUCAGCUUCAUGGAGUCGCAGAACCCAACAGUAUAUACCAAGUCCAAUGAGGAGGGCGUGAAGAGGGUACAGAAGGGAGACGGCCAGUAUGCCUACAUGAUGGAGUCGUCUAGCAUCGAGUACAUCACAGAACGGUACUGCGAUCUGACUCAGGUGGGCGGCCCGCUAGACUCCAAAAGCUACGGCAUCGCGCUCCCGCCAGGCUCCCCCUACCGUACGCUGAUCAACGCCGCCGUACUCAAGCUCCAGGAGGGAGGAGUUCUUCACGAGCUCAAGCGCAGGUGGUGGAAAGAGAAGAGGGGCGGGGGCACCUGCCAGCCUGACGAAUCCAAGAGUUCCUCGAAAGCCAACGAGCUCGGCCUGAACAACGUGGGCGGCGUGUUCGUGGUACUGCUGGCCGGCAUGGGUCUCGCUUCGGUGGUCGCUGUGUGUGAGUUCGUAUGGAAGUCAAGAAAGCUGGCCACGGAGGAGCAUGUGAGUGUCUGUUAGGUGGACUGCAGUGCGGCGGGCAGUUGUGUAGCUGGUUCACCCUCUGUCUGUCAUUGAGAUCUUGGGAUUUACUGUUGCUGUCCUGUCCGUAGUUCUUCCCAGUGUGUGUGUUCACCUCCUUUUCUUUGAUGUCAGUAGCUUUGUACUUUUGUAUUAUAUAUCUAAAGUAAAAAAUAUCCAUGUAGAAAUUAGCAGCAGAUGGUUAUGAUUUCUUUUUUCGUUUUCAAAAGUUGUGGUUCAUGCGUGCGUUGUACUUGACUAAAACCCAAAACCUUUAGAGUUCCUUUAAUCCCUUGAAAAGUGUACAUCAUGAUGAACUUUACAAAUUUAUGCUUGUCUUGUAUACUUGUAUUUGCCAUGAAAUACAUUAUCAUGAGCAUUCCUUUUCUUACAGACGCUAAAAAAAAUAUUACUGAUAAUUGAAGAAAGCUUCAUUAAACUGCUCAUCCUAAAGCAAAGCAAUGUGACAGUACUUAACAACAAACCAUUAAAAGAGUACAUGUCUAAUAGAUAAAUCAUCAUAAAUAUUAAAAAAGAAAUAAAAAAGAGGAAUGGGAGACUCACCAUUGGUUGCCUAUCCCUUCAAUGCCUUCCUUCCCUUCACUCUGCAAUGCCUCCCUUCUCUUCCCUCUUGACUCCCCGCUGGACCACCACAGUAGGCAGAUGAUCCACAAUCACUCACCAAUUUACUAUCCCCAGGCUUCCGUUUGGACAGAGAUGAGUAAGGAACUCAAGUUCGCGCUCUCCUGCGACGCGUCCUCCAAGCCGGUGAGGAAGAAGCUGCCUGAGCACGAGAAUGGACCUUCGUACCUCUCCAUGAACAACACCUUCGGGUCCACCUUCACCACCUCCCAGUACUCCUUCUCAUCUAAGGACCCCGUCUCCUGACAACUGCAGUCCCAGCCACCAACACAAGAGCCAGCGCCUCGAGGUUCCGCUCAAAAACAGGAGCCAGAUGAUAUCCCCACGCCGCCCCUGGCCGCCGCCCGCAGUAGCCAGUCCCUGGACCGCGUCUCUCGCCGCUCAGCACCGCCUGCGUCCCCCGGAGCUGACAGCAGACUGACUGAGGGAGGCCUACAGUCCCCCGACCUCCCAUUCCAGCUGAUAUCAUCGGUAUGACACUAGGGCAGCGUAGGUCAGCAGCAGGCGGACACGCAGGCUGUCAUCUUGCACAUCGCUCGCUCUCGGCUCUAAGCUCAACAAGAAAGGCAAUCAUAUAUUUUAUACACUAAUACAAUACGUAACAUUUACUCAAGAUGGCAUGUAAAUAAUGACAGGUCUUUCAAAAUCGUGGACAGAAUACAUAAAUAAAAAAAAAAAAGUUUUCUAAGUUUCAUAAAUGUGUAGCGUCAGAUUGGAAAUUCCUGACACUAAAGACAAGUAUCUGUUCACAGCUCUUGUCCCAGUUAUAGAAACCCUGAGGAAACGCGUUAUCUUAUUGUUUUGCUAGUUUGUAGAGAUUCUGGACACUUGCGAUCAAGAAACAGCAACAGAUGUAUAAGAAAAGGAUGAACAGUGAGAAUAGCUGUGCGUCGUAAUUUGAAGUAAUGGUGAUUCGUGCCAAAGUGAUGCCUCAGCCACUUAUCCGAGAAAGCGAAAGAGCUCGGCAGAAAGGAAAGUGAUGGUCAAGGUAGAAGACGUCUUCAUCAUUAAGAGUGCUUGAUGUGAUGAACUGUGAAGAAAUUAGCUUAUAGAAAGACACUUCCUAUGUGAGUAUAUGAUUUGACGAAUUGGGACUAAAGGAAGCACUUAGAAAUAUUUGGAAAACAGUGGGUUGGUGAUGAAUUCCAUUUUGAGUGAUUAGAAACUUUGCGAAUAAAUGGAGCAUCUAGAAAUGUUUGGAAGACAGUCUCUUGAUGAAAGAUAAUUCCUUAAUUCAAAAAUUUGUACAUAGUUUUGUAAGACAUUAGAAGCAUUGUGGAAUUCGGUGUACAUACGACAAAAACACAAUACAAUGUAUUGUUUAGAGUUGUACAUAAAUUGCAAUUCUAGAAAUAUUUGGAAAUCAGUCAAUUGAUGAAAGUCCCUGAUUCAUAGAAAAAUUACACAAAUAAAAAACAUAAAGACGGCGUGAAACACCGCAUCUUCACGAACAAAACUACCAUUAUGUAAGUAUAUUAAUCUCACAUACAAAAAAUAGAUUAAUUAAAAGAAACGAGUGAUAGCAAAGAGCAAAAAAAAAAAUCGCACUUUGAGAAGAAUUUGACAAGGUAGAUUAUCAAUAGAUACACGAAGAAAACGCUCUGAAGCGUACUACUGUUUUAAAAGAUGUACGGUCAUGAAUCUAAUUACAACUAGAAAUAUCCCAAAAACACUCAGUUGAUAACCAAGAAAGAUUCGUGCUUGAAGAGCAAGAAACAUUGUGGAAAUCAGCCAGUUCACCAAGAAAACGCUUUGGGACGUAUUACUGUUUUUAUAUCUGCGUGUGAGUGCAGGGUACCUUGCUCAUGUGGUAGCUUGACCGUGCCUGUAGUGUAAGUCAGGUGUACUAUGUAGGGUAAGUCACGCAUACCGAGACACCUUACCUUAGGACAAACAACUAGCCCUUCACUGUACAUACAUCACACUCUGACGUUUCAGUGAGUAGGACAGCAAAAUAUGAAUAAAUAAAUGAAUAAACAAAAGCUUCAAGACAAAAAAGAGUAUAUACAUAUAUAUAUAUAGGGAGACCAAAACUAAGGUCUCAUCAGGUACAAAUUAAAGACUAGAAAGAUAUGCGGUGGAAAUUUGCUUACGAGAUUCUUCCUGAGUUGAGUGGCUUGAGAUGGUGUGUGUGUGUGUAUGUGUGUGUGUGUGUGUGUGUGUGUGUGUGUGUGUGUGUGUGUGUGUGUGUGUGUGUGUGUGUGUUAUUUGUUUACACUAGUGAGAAAAAUUACGGGAAAUGACUGAGGAUUGACAGUGUGCGUAAGAAGCAAUUGACAGUUUAUUAAGGGGAUGAGAAACAAAAUAUUGUAUACGUAUGAUAAGCGGCUGGUCAGAUAGGGUUAGUCUCUCUCUCUCUCUCUCUCUCUCUCUCUCUCUCUCUCUCUCUCUCUCUCUCUCUCUCUCUCUCUCUCUCUCUCUCUCUCUCUCUCUCUGGAGUGUGUUUGUUUAGGAGAGAUGCAGUUAUUACGAAGUUAUAUUUUUACAUGACAAGCUGCUGGCCAAAGGAUAUAAGAAAUAAAACAGUAAAAACCAUAAUGUGUUCACAAGUAUUUGCUAUCAGGAUUACAGAAGUUUAAGAUUAAUCUGUAUUUUGUUAUCCAUUUGGUAAAGCAUAACGCUCGUGGAUGUACUAAUGCAUAUGAUUCAGAUAAGCUGUUAUAGUGAGUAUCCGUUUCAAUGUGUUAGUAUUCACCGGCUCCACGACCUACAUUUUAUUUUUAAGGUUAUACACUUUAAUGUUUAAUGAGAAUGUUAUCUUUAUACGUAAUAAGGCAUUAUGUUAUUUACUUUAUAUAUACUAUGAAUGUUACUGUUGAUUAUUACUUUUUAGAUUAUAACAAAGAAUUGUGCCAAGAGUGAAAGAAAGAGAUUCACAUGAAAUUAGUUAAGCAAAAAAGGGAGAUAAUGUUUUAUGCUUCAAUGUGUCUGGACGCUUGCUGAGGAAUGAACAGCAUGAGAGAAAGUUCCAUUGAUUAUCAUUAUAUUUUAGGCAAUCACAAAGAAAUGAGUUGCCAACGAGGGAGAGAGAUUCAAGCAAGUGAAAUUAAUCAAGUAUAGCCAGACAACAUUCUUAGAUUUGCAUGAACGUUUGUUGAGGGAUAAAAUUACAAGUGAAAGCUAUAUUGUUAAGUAUUAGUUUAUUUUGUUCUAAUAAUUAUAAAAGAAAAUGUAUCAGCAGUGAGGGAAGAAGAUACAAGCCAGAAUAACCAGGCAAAGAGACAACGUUCGCAAGGUUUUUUUUUUUUUUUUUUUACUUAUGCCAUGUUUGUGUGAACGUUUGAAUAUGAGUAAGAGGAGAAAGCAAUGACGUUUCAGUGUUUAGUCACAAAGAUGAGAAAACUUUGUGUGCUUAAUGAAUGUUCAAGCAUCAAUGUUUGGCCUCACUAAUGAUGACUGAGGUUGAAAAGAGAGGUUCAGAUCAAACUGCAGCCUUUUGUGUCGGGUGAGUGUUGCUUGCGAGUCGGUGUGCUUGACUCUUCCCGUGUAUCCAUGAUUAAAAAUUUUGUAGCCAAGAAGAGACGAGGCAGACGCGUGAGUGUUGGCCGCAGUCUUUGAUUACUGUUGAUUAGAUUUAAUACGUGACUCAAUAUUAUUUGUUGUAUGUUUAGUGUUACGAGCUGUUCAUGUACUAUUCUUUUAUGUCAUUACCAAAUACAUUAUUACAAGCUGUUUCA